GAUGAACGCUGGCGGCGUGCCUAAUACAUGCAAGUCGAGCGAACAGAUGAGGAGCUUGCUCCUUUGACGUUAGCGGCGGACGGGUGAGUAACACGUAGGUAACCUACCUAUAAGACUGGGAUAACUUCGGGAAACCGGAGCUAAUACCGGAUAAUAUUUCGAACUGCAUGGUUCGAUAGUGAAAGAUGGCUUUGCUAUCACUUAUAGAUGGACCUGCGCCGUAUUAGCUAGUUGGUAAGGUAACGGCUUACCAAGGCAACGAUACGUAGCCGACCUGAGAGGGUGAUCGGCCACACUGGAACUGAGACACGGUCCAGACUCCUACGGGAGGCAGCAGUAGGGAAUCUUCCGCAAUGGGCGAAAGCCUGACGGAGCAACGCCGCGUGAGUGAUGAAGGUCUUCGGAUCGUAAAACGCUGUUAUUAGGGAAGAACAAACGUGUAAGUAACUGUGCACGUCUUGACGGUACCGAAUCAGAAAGCCACGGCGAACUACGU
rnacentral:rRNA from 1 species